rnacentral:rRNA from 1 species
CAAUACAUCACCGGCGGACGGGUGCGUAACACGUGGGAAUAUACCUUUCGGUACGGAACAACUGAGGGAAACUUCAGCUAAUACCGUAUACGUCCUUACGGAGAAAGAUUUAUCGCCGAAGGAUUAGCCCGCGUUCGAUUAGCUAGUUGGUGAGGUAAUGGCUCACCAAGGCAACGAUCGAUAGCUGUUCUGAGAGGAAGAUCAGCCACACUGGGACUGAGACACGGCCCAG